AAAAAAAAAAAAAAAAAAAAAGGAGUUCUUACACCGUGACUGGACAAGCAGAUGGAACAGAAGUUUCAGAGAAAUUAUUGUAGGAAAUAUCUAUUGCACUGCAUACAAACAUUAGCCUGUAAACAAAAGCACAUUUUUGGAAUAAUUUUUUUUCCAAAACGUGAAUAAUGAAUGCAAAGUUGCCCAAAAAUUGCUGCAGCAAAUUAUUUCAAAAUAACAAAUAACGAAAUCAACAGAAGUUUAGAGGUAGAAUAUAAGAAAAACAAACUUACUAUCUAUGAUUUCUCUCAAGAAUCCACUUGGGGAUCGGUCCAGUUAGAAAGUUGCUUGUCAGAUACCUAUACAAUGAUCCGGUCAUUUUGUUAAAACACAUCCAGAGUAUUGCAAAAGAUUGUACAGAGGAAUGAAGGAAAUCUAAUUUGGAGUCUUAAUUAGAGAGGAUAGAGGAAAAAUAGAAGCCUUAAUGGAAACAUUAAUAAAAUUCCAUAUGGUAUUUAAUAAGUUCACAUUAUAUACAGAACCAAUAUCCACUGAAAGGCCCUCUAUAUGUAUAUGUGCCAGCUAGCUGCCCACAUGAACUUAGAAUGCAUACAUGCUCUCCAGGGCCACUAAUUCAAGAUAAUUUGUUGGUAGAUUUCCAGUCAAUCUGUUGAAACUAAGAUCUCUGCAAGACAACAUCUUUUAAUGAAUGAAAAAAGUAGUGCAGAUGUUAUCAUUGAGGAAAUAGUCUACAACAACCAUAAAUAGUUAAUCAAAAUGUGAAGUGUUGACUAUAAAUCUCAGAAAUGAAUCUCAAAAUACGAGUAGAACAGAGGAAUUCAAGAAAUGAGAGAUAAGGGAGCAGUAUAUCACAAGUCUUUCAGAGUUGCAAUAUGCGUUAUAUACUCUGGGAAAUUUCCAGUUAUAUUGCAGUUGCUCAAUAACCUGCAAUGCAAAUUAUCUUCAAAUCAGCUCAACUACUACGGUGAAAAUUAUUCUGUUUCAAGCAACAAAGUAGAAUAACUCACAAAUACUUUAAGUUUUUCAUGUUUCCUACGUAUGGAAAGUUAGAACCUUCCCCACCUAAGUCACUAAUCCUCCUGCAUGGUAUAGUAGAACAUUUACAUAAAAAUCUAUGAUGUGUAAUCAUAGACGAGAAACAUAAGUCUGUUAGGAAAGUAAAGAAGCACGACUCACAGUUGAGUUAAAUUAGUCAAGACAGAAAUGCUAGAGGGAAUGGGGCCUUCAAGGCCACUACCUUGGAUUGCUCUGUUAACAACAUUUUAAAUACUUUUAGAUUACACCUGAAAACUAGUGUUGAGUAGAUUUAAAAUUUUAUCAUUAAGAAAAGAAAUGUACAGCAUCUCAAGUCGUUUCCAACUCUGGAUAAAACUGGGUAUUUUUCCACUGAAAUUGUUACUGCUAAUCUUAAGUUCAGUUAAUUUGGUGAUUUUAGUGAGAGCCAGAGGUAACUCUCCAGUGAGAUUGUUGGCAUUAAGAAUGAGAUUCACCAAAUUAACCAAGUUUCCAAGCUCUACAGGAACAGUUCCAUAAAAGAAGUUGUUCUCUAUGCUCAAGUAUAUGAGCGACGUGAUGUUUCCCAAGUAACUUGGAAUGCGUCCUGUUAAGCGGUUCACUGUGAUUGACAGAUAUUCCAGCUUUGUGGAAGCCCAUUCAGGUGGUAUAUUCCCACUAAGGUAAUUACGAGUCAGAUCAAGUGUCUUGAGGAAAGGCAACUUCACAAUUGAUGCUGGAAGCACACCAGGAAGAUCUUGCCCUUUGAGAAAUAGUUUCUCCACAUGGCACACGCCAUCCAGGCCUUUGCAAUUGCAGAUGAGACUAUUGUUGUACCAUGGCAUGGCAUCUGGUUUUGGUGUCUGCCAGCUCGAGUGAUUACUGCAAGGGUCUACGCUGAAAUUCCAGUCUUCUUUUCCCACUUGUUUUGCAAUUUCGCGUAAAGCUUGCACUUCACCGUCUGCAAGAUGGCUAGAUUCAGCUUGUGCUUCAACCGUGCACAUUAGCCACAUAAGCAUAAGCAAACUAAAGGUAAUUCUGAAGAUUCCAGGAGCUCGAGCCUUCCUCUUCUUCAACCACUUCGUGUUGCUUGAGGCUUCUUCUGGAUGCAAGGACGAGCGAUCAAAGCAACUCAUCAUACCUACGAGUAGGGGGGAACACUGUUUAUUGAAAGUAAAGAUGGUUCCAGCGGAGGAAAAAAAGCUGCUCAAAUUAGAGAUUUAUUGUUCGACAGAAGUGUUGUUGAGUGAGUUAUAUAGGAAAUUCUACAACACUAUGCUCCAUGCUCCCUCAAUCAUGCAAAAGUAAAUCCUGCAUGAGGUAAGAAGGAGAUGGACUCAGUUAAUUGUUAGUAAUA
rnacentral:misc_RNA from 1 species